GGCCAGAUAAAUUAUGAGGAAUUUGUGAAAGUCAUGAUGGCAAAGUGAUCAUCCUAUUGCCACCAAAACUAAAAUGGAAACGUUUCCUAUUUUCUUUUUUAUUUUAAUUUUUUUUGGAUUUUUGUUUGAUGAUUUUGAAUCAACCUCUUAAAAGGUAGUUGUGAUCUAUCCAUGGUAGUUGAAUGUUGGGUGUUACUUUUAAUGUGAUGUUUCUAAUGUCUUUCUAAACUCGAUUGCCUUUGGCAGUUUGUUUUGUUUUUCUAGUCUCUAUGAACUUGAACUUACCUUGGAGGAUUCAAAAAAAAAAAAAAU
rnacentral:misc_RNA from 1 species